AGAGUUUGAUCCUGGCUCAGGAUGAACGCUAGCGGCAGGCUUAAUACAUGCAAGUCGAGGGGCAGCGGGGUAGCAAUACCGCCGGCGACCGGCAAACGGGUGCGGAACACGUACAGAACCUUCCUUUAAGCGGGGAAUAGCCCGGAGAAAUCCGGAUUAAUACCCCAUAGUAAUAUUGAUUGGCAUCAAUUGGUAUUUAAAGAUUUAUCACUUAAAGAUGGCUGUGCGGCUGAUUAGGUAGUUGGUGUGGGUAACGGCCCACCAAGCCAGCGAUCAGUAACUGGUGUGAGAGCACGACCAGUCACACGGGCACUGAGACACGGGCCCGACUCCUACGGGAGGCAGCAGUAAGGAAUAUUGGUCAAUGGACGCAAGUCUGAACCAGCCAUGCCGCGUGAAGGAUGAAGGUCCUCUGGAUUGUAAACUUCUUUUAUCUGGGACGAAACACUCUUAUUCUUAAGAGCUUGACGGUACCAGAGGAAUAAGCACCGGCUAACUCCGUGCCAGCAGCCGCGGUAAUACGGAGGGUGCAAGCGUUAUCCGGAUUCACUGGGUUUAAAGGGUGCGUAGGUGGGAAUGUAAGUCAGUGGUGAAAUCUCCGUGCUUAACAUGGAAACUGCCAUUGAUACUAUGUUUCUUGAAUCUUCCGGAGGUCAGCGGAAUAUGUCAUGUAGCGGUGAAAUGCUUAGAUAUGACAUAGAACACCAAUUGCGAAGGCAGCUGACUACAGGAGCAUUGACACUGAGGCACGAAAGCGUGGGGAUCAAACAGGAUUAGAUACCCCAGUAGUCC
rnacentral:rRNA from 1 species